CCAGAGGGAAAUGAUGUAUGUGAAAGUGAUGACUGAUGAACAGUUGGAAACUCUGAGGAAACAAAUUGCAGUUUAUGCCACCAUUUGUGAGCAACUCAUUGAGAUGCACAGAACAUUCUCAACUCAGCAGGAUCUUGCAGAAAAAUACACAUAACUUUGGGCUUUGACAAGAGAACCCUUCAAAUUUUCAAUUUUAGUUACAAACCUUCUGUUUCAAUAUCAGGUUCUGUGCAUUUUCAGUUGCAAAGCAGGUACAUAAUGGUAGAGCUUUGUUCUAAGUACAAUUUAUUUGUUAUUCUGCAAAUUCCCAUUCAUAUCCUGUUACCUACCCAUGUUGCUUGUUAAAUCAAAGCCUUCAAUGUUAAGGUUUGUGGGACUCCAAUUAGUUUCUCUUGACCAGUUUUGUCAGUUAGAUUUGUCCACAUCAUAUUUAAUUGCAUUUAAAGUACCAGCCUGUUGAUUUAAGUUUUCUUUUAAGCCAACUUGAUUCCACUUGCCAGAAAAUUACAUUGCAAAAUAUCAUAAACACUUCAUUAGUUCAAUUUUAAUAAGAGGGACAUAUAUGAUAUAACUAGAAAUUAAACCCGUGCGUUGCACGGGUAUGUUUUUAAGUUUUGUUGUUCAUUAUUUUUUUAAAAGGUUAAAAAGCUGUUAAAUUGAUGAAAAUGUAGAAUAUAUAGAUAUAUCAACUGUAAUUACAUUGAGGAAGUUCAUUAAAAACUUCAUUGUACACAACAUUUUUUGUAUAUUGUGCAUAUGUGUCGUCUUGCUCAACAAUAAGUAUCUUCAAUCCCUUUGGUGAUGUUACUCUUGACACCGCAACGUAUAGUUGACCGUGACUAAAUACAGGUCUUGGCAAAUAUAAUCCCACAUAGUUCAAUGACUGGCCUUGACUUUUGUUGAUUGUCAUUGCGUAACAAACUUUUAUUGGAAAUUGUUUUCUUCUCAAGAUAAAAGGCCACUUGGAAUCAUUUUUCGUCAGAACUAUCCGUGGUAUAAACACUUUUGCACCAAUGUUGCUUCCCGUUAGUAUUUUUGCCUCUAUUACCCGGUCUCCUAGGCGUAAAAUAAUUAGUCUUGUUCCAUUGCACAAUCCUAGGGCUGGAUUGAUGUUCCUGAGUAGCAUAAUUGGCAUUCCUUUUUUGAGGUCCAAACAAUGGUUUGGAUAUCCGUUGAAACUUAAAGUAUUCAAGAACUCCACCGGGUACAUGAUCUCUUGUUCAACUAUGUUAUCAGUUGCUUUGUCUAUCUGAUCUGAGCUCCUGUAUUGUUUUGCUGUCCCUUCAAUCAUGUGAAUGAUAUAAUUAUUGAUGUCAUCAACUGUAUCAUUCAAAGGAGUGAGGAUUGCUCUUUCUCUGAGAUAGUCUUCAUUUUUUAACUGUUUCUGCAAAUUUGGAUAUGUGCUGUCAACAAUUUGUUUAAUUGAAUCACCUGUUGGCUUUAGUAGAUAUUGGCUUGGUAUUUUUGUCCAUGUUGGAAUAUCUUCACCUUCUCUACAAAUUGUUGUUAUUUUUCCAUCACCAAUCUGCAAUAUCCAUUUGUUGAAUUCAUAUGCCAAUGAACUAAGUCGGGAAGAUGAUGAACUAUCACUAACUCUCAUACUUUUGGACAGCAUAAAGAUCUUGCAGUGGUCCCAUAAGUAAGACUUGUUAAUACAUGAUUGGACUAUGUCUUGUCUUUGGCCUUUUGGUAUUACAGGUAGUAUUUGUCUGAAAUCUCCCCCAAGAAGGGUUGUCUUUCCUCCAAAUGGCUUGAGUGCUUUGUCAGGGUUCUUGUAACCAACAAUGUCUUUCAAUGUUCUAUCAAGGGCUUCAAAUGCCAAUCUCUUAGUCAUUGGUGCUUCAUCCCAAAUAAUCAGAUCUGUCUGAUUUAUUAAUUGAGCAAGGUACCCGAGCGAUGCAGAUAAGCAUCUGUUGGCAAGAAAGACCGGUCUAUCCCGAAAUCAGGUUUGUCCCUCUCCACUCUCAGCUUUCCACAAUUCACCACACUUUUACAUUGUAUCUAAGAGGGAAUCUUUACUCUGUUAAUUUUAAUGUAAUUAUAGUACAUGAUGAACGAACGGACCACAUAAGAAAAUGAAAGAUAAUCUGUUAAGGGAAUGGAAGAAAAGGGGUCAGUUGUAGGUUCAGAUAAAAUUUGCAUGGUUUUGGGUUUUUGUUGAUUUCUCUGGUUUCAUACUGACAUUUGUGGUGGCGUGGUGAGAGAUGCUGUGGGACAGUGUGUCUUGGCUUCAACAGUAACCUGGGCGAGUUCAUGUUCGACGACACCGCCGAGGUGCAGAUAAUCGAUCUCUUGCCAUCCUGAAAAGUUGGGCAAUGGGAUUUUCUCUGUCAAGCAUUUCCUUUAGAUCUUCAACUAUGGUUGCAUCAAGUUCUUCUGCCUUUGCUCCCUUUUUGAAGGAGCGCAUUCUAUUUUGGAUUUCAUUUUCUGUAUCAUGGAUAUAAAGCUGGCAGAAUUUUGGGGUUUCUCCUUCUUCAGUUGCAGAGAUUCAAUGCAGAUCUUCUAAGCGAUUGGGAAUAUGCUCCAAGUUGGACUUUGCAGCGUUCACUUCAGAUCCAAUUGAGGAGUCGUUGAUUUCCAAUAUGGUCUCUGUUACUUUGUCUGGUAAGUUAACUUCAGUUGCUUCCUUCUCAGCCUCUUUCUCAACUUCAGUUGCUUCCUUCUCAGCUUCCUUCUCAAUCUGAUAGAAUUUUUUGGAAUUAUUUUACAAUUUAAUUGACAUUGUUUAAUUGUUAAUUAUUAGAUUAAAUACAAAGUAAUUUUAAUCACCUUCACCGCUGCUUUCAAAAGUUUAUUUGCUGUGAAACUUUGCCUUCCAUGACUCUCAAAGUAGGUACUCAUCUUUAUUUGAAAAACAUGUGAAGAGCCUAUGGUUUUCAGGAGUUGUGGAGGUAGGUCCAAAUCCCUCUUAUCUCCCUAUAUUGUACAAUCAUAGAUGGAUAAAGAUUAGAAUCAUAAUUUUAACAUAAUAAGCAUUUUACGUGUCUUCAUUAUGAUUGAAAAAUGGGCAAAAUUAGUUUGUUCCUGACCUGUUCAAAGGCUGAUAAAAGAUCAUGUAAUUUCACAUGUGCUAUUUGUUCAGCAAUGUCAUCAAAUACAACAAAUAUAGUUGAAUUGGUAGCAUCUCUGACAUCAAGCUCUAAUCGAAACCUAAUAUAAAUAAUAUAGAACAUUAAUAAUUUAAUUUUCAUUUCAUUGAAUAUAUUAUAUUAGAAGUAUUGGUUACCUUGUUGUUGGAUAGUCAACAUUCUUGUGGCAGGAAUCACAACUGAACUUUGUUGAUGUGUUAGAGACCUUUCUUUUGCAAUGAGGGCAGGAAACAUAAAACCACCCGUUUUUCAGCAAGAUGUCAUUUAUAGUUGCAGCACAACAAUAGGAUGUUGAAGUCUAAGGUAUGUAUGAUUUGAGUGUGUUUGAGUUGUUUAUAUAGAGAUAUGCAAUAGUGCAUGAUUUAGUGUAAUUCAAUUAUUUCAAAUUAAUGUAGGUAGAUGAAUAGGCUCUUUGUAUUGCCAAGUUUUAUCAGUUUUAUCAGUUUUUGCAGGGUGGUUCAUUGCUUUGAAAUGGGAGGUUAUGGAUUUGUGCAGAAUUUAUGAAAUUGAGAGACAGUAUUAAUUUCAAUUAACAUUGUUAUUGAAAAAGUGUGCUCAAAAACAUUGUACACGUGAUGUAUAUAGUAUAUAGAAGAUUUCUUUGAGCAGCUGAAGGAAAUUCCGUUGGAAUAAUUUCUUUAAUGUCACUAUGUAGUAUUGUUGUCAGUUUCACAUUUGUCAUUUUCAUUAAGUGCUGUGUAGUCAGUUUUAUAUUUGUCAGUUUCAGGUUGUUGUGUAACUUUCCUUGGUUACUUGUCAGCCUCAUUGAGAAGCAUCUGUCAUCUUUGUAAUUGAAGUUGGAUUUGAUGAAACACAUACGUGUGCAAAGUGUAUUGAAAUCUCUAUUGACCACAUUGGAAACUUAAAUUCUGCAGUACAGUGAAUACUGACUAAAAAAUGAUUUCAUUUAACAUAAGUAACUGAAAAUGGAAAUUAAAAUAGAUUGUUAAUGUGUUUAAUGCAGUUUUUCAAGUGUUUAAUACCUAUAGCUCAAGUGAGCUUUACAUAUAUAUAUAGAUUUUUCGAUUAGAAUGAUUUCUUCUGUGGUAAACUGUCUCUCAUUCUCUGUCUCACCAAAAAAAAAUGUUAACAUGUCAACUAGAAACCUCAUUCAAGUUUAUAGCUUUUACCCCUCGUGUCUUUUUUAACUGACAUGUAUUUAAUUGAUGGAACUGGAAAUUGACACAUAAUUUAAGGACAGAAGAUGUUAAUUGGGAAAAUACUGCUUGAUCGAUUAAAUAAACACUUUUGAACCUCCUAGAUAAAUGUACUCUUGAGAUUCUAUAGAUUAUAGAACCAUGAAAAAUGGGAGAAUUUUGCUUCCUUUACUUGGCAAUUGACAUUUAUUUAUUAAGAUCCUGCACUCUAUAAUUAAAG